AUUAAAGUUAAGUUUUUGUUUUUCCAUUUUUUUCAUCCACCAAAUGCGGACUAGUAAGAUUAGCUCACCCCCUUACACCUAUUUUACUAUUCCCAGACCGGAACCUAUUAUUGAGCAGCCUUGCAGAAGUCCCAUACUAACCCGACAACUGACUGGCACCCUUCCUUCCUGACAUUGACAUAUGCCCCUCCGACUUACACCUGGCCCACCACAUAUUGACAUUAAUGGACAGUUGCAAUUGGCAGAUCCUGUAUUUGUUUAUUUACUUUUUACUACAUCCGACCUGUUUAAUUGGAAGACCCAUAACUCCUCGUACAUCGAUAAACCUCAAGCCAUGAUUGACUUGGUCACCUCUAUUAUACAGACCCAUAAUCCCACCUGGGAUGAUUGUCAGCAAUUAUUACUGACCUUGGGAACAUAAGUGGCGCUGACAUGAUCCAUCUGAAGGCCUAUCAACAAGCCAUUAUUACUGGCAUGAAGGCAGGAGGGAAAAGGGCAAUUAACAUGUCCAGGACGGCUGAAAUGUUACAGAAAGUUAAUGAAUUACCCAGUGCUUUUUAUGAGAGACUGCUUGAGUCAAAUAGAUUGUACACUCCUUUCAAUCCUGAAGCCCCUGAAAACUUCUGAAUGAUAGACUCAGCAUUUGUCAGCCAGGCCCAGAGCGAUAUUAAGAGAAAGCUACAAAAAUUAGAGGGAUUUGCAGGGAUAUCUAUAUCACAGCUAAUGGAGGUUGCAAAUAAGGUGUAUAUGAAUAGGGAAACUGAGAGAAAGUGUGAGGAGGAACAUAAGAUGAGGAAGAAAAUAGAUAUGUGAGUGGUAGCUAUUUCAGGUGUAGCUUGAGAAGGAGGGGAGAUGAAUAGAGGAGUUGAGAAUAGGAUGAGCAGGGUACCACUUGGUAGAGAUCAAUGUGCAUAUUGUAGCGAGGAAGGACAUUGGAAGAGUGAUUGCCCACAGAGGGGAUAUAUUGCAGGUGGUAGACGGGAAGAGGGCGAGGUGGUUAUGGUAGCAGCUAUAGAGGACGAGGUAGAGGAAGUUUUGAAGGAAAUAGUGGGAAUAAUAGAGGAAGUGUUCAAGGGUACAGAUAUUAUCCACCCAUGCGACCUAGAGAAAGGGAAGAUAGAGAUUUUGUAGGUCUGGCUGACACUGUCAUGGAAGACUAUUGAUACCGACUGGGCUCCAUCCCACUUGGCCAAGCAGAGCCUAUGGCCGAUGUAUCAAUG